CGGGACGGGGUGGAGGUAAUGCUUGGGAAUCUGGCUUAUGGAGGGGGAUAACUACGGGAAACUGUAGCUAAUACCGCGUAAUAUCGAAAGAUUAAAGUGUGGGACCUUCGGGCCACAUGCCAUAGGAUGAGCCCAAGUGGAAUUAGGUAGUUGGUGAGGUAAAGGCUCACCAAGCCGACGAUCUCUAGCUGGUCUGAGAGGAUGACCAGCCACACUGGGACUGAGACACGGCCCAG
rnacentral:rRNA from 1 species